AUUUGAACCAAAAAUUUGUGUUUCUUUACUAAUCUUAAUUCUAAGCUACUUUGUACUCUGAUGACUUUUGUAUUCAGUUACAAUUCUCCCGUCGGAAAAUGGCUUGGCUUCGUCGCCGCCGUUUGGGUACAAGCUAUUUCCGGCAACAAUUAUACUUUCUCUAACUACUCCGACGCUUUAAAGUCUCUAAUGGCACUCACUCAGCUCCAAUUAAACAACCUCUCAGUAGCUAAGGAUGUCGGAAAAGCGUUCGGGAUACUCGCCGGACUUGCCUCCGACCGUCUAUCUACUCCGGUUAUUCUUUUCAUUGGAGGAAUCGAAGGCUUCAUUGGUUACGGUGUACAAUGGCUUGUCGUUAGUGGUACAAUUAAACCUCUUCCUUACUGGGUCAUGUGUAUAUUUUUAUGCAUGGGAGGUAACAGUACUACAUGGAUGAACACCGCCGUAUUAGUUACUUGUAUAAGGAAUUUCAGGAAAAACAGGGGUCCUGUAACCGGGAUUUUGAAAGGAUAUGUUGGAUUGAGUACGGCAAUAUUCACCGAUAUUUGUUCGGCGUUAUUUUCCAGCGAUCCAGCUACUUUCUUACUCAUACUUGCCGUAGUUCCUUUUUCCGUUUGUCUCGCGGCGAUUGUCUUUCUCCGUGAAAUUCCACCUUCCUCAACUUCUGCAGAAGAAAAGGAAGAGGUCAAAUACUUCGGCGUCAUUAACAUAAUUGCCGUCAUUAUAGCUGUUUAUUUGUUAGUAUUUGACAUUUCCGGUACUCAUGGCAAAGUUUUUUCACAAUUUUUUGCUGCAAUACUUCUGGUACUUAUAGCAUCGCCUUUGUUCAUUCCGAUUCACCUUAUGGUGAAAAAUUUUAUCCGCGAAAAUUCAGAGAACUUUGACGUUGAAGGGAAUAACAAUGUUGCAGAGCCAUUACUGUGCGUUGAAGAAACGGUUACAGAAGAAGUUGAGAAAAAGGAGACUGUUGUAGUGGAGGAAAAUAAGGUGCCAGUUGCAGUGGAGAAACGGCAACCUGUUAUUGGAGAAGAUCACACGAUUUUCGAGGCAAUAAGGACUCUGGAUUUCUGGAUCUUGUUUGUAUCAUUUCUUUGUGGAGUUGGAACAGGUUUGACUGUGAUGAACAAUUUGGGGCAAAUGGGAUUAGCUCUGGGAUAUGUUGAUGUUUCCAUUUUCGUCUCCCUCACCAGCAUUUGGGGAUUUUUCGGUCGAAUUAUUUCCGGCUCCGUCUCCGAAUACUUCAUCAAGAAAGCUGCAGUGCCAAGACCAAUAUGGAAUGCGGCUUCACAGAUUCUGAUGGCUGUUGGAUACAUCUGUUUAGCCAUGGCUAUGCCAGGAUCACUCUACAUUGGCUCCAUUGUGGUUGGAAUUUGCUAUGGGGUUCGUCUUGCCAUAUCUGUUCCAGCUGCUUCUGAACUCUUUGGUCUCAAAUAUUACGGUCUCAUUUAUAAUGUCCUAAUUCUCAACCUUCCACUCGGCUCAUUUCUCUUCUCUGGUUUGCUUGCGGGUCUGUUAUAUGAUGCUCAGGCUACAACAACAGCUGAUGGUGGUAACACUUGUGUAGGUGCUCACUGCUACAGGCUUGUAUUUAUAGUUAUGGCUAUAGCUUGCAUCAUUGGGUUCGGCUUGGAUAUUUUGUUAUCCAUUAGAACCAGGAGCUUAUAUGGUAAGAUUUAUGCAAGCAAGAAAGCCAAGAAGACUAGUACUAGUAUAUUGUCUUGAUGAGUACUCAUUGUGAACUCAAAAGUGGGAGGAUUGAUAGGACAUUCGUGUGCUGAUGAUACCCUUUCCACUUGCACAAGUCAACUUUGUUUGAUUAGUAGGAUUAUUUCGUUACUUUGUAUCGAGUAAAUCUUAAUUCAUUGUACUAUACUGAACUUGUAAAACUAUUGAACUGGUAUUUUAUCCUCCGUCUUGGGCGUGGUGAAGCAAAUGAUCAGUGAGAUUGACCACCAUCAGUAUAGUCAGAGUGUGUAAUUGUGGACAAGGCCAUUGACCCAUGAUGACAGCCCACAAAAUAAUGCAAUAUCAGACUAAAUUGUUAGGAGUUGGCCCAGUACUGGAGAAACACAUGCAGGAUGAUAGCAAUGGGACCAAGAGGUAAAAAACUUCUAGUUGGCUACAAAAACAGAAUUAAGAGCUUGUUUGGCUCAGCUUAAAAGCUGGUCAAACUGACUUAAAAGCUGAUUUUUAACUUAUUUAACUGUUUGACAAUACUCAAAAUAGCUUAUUUUAAGUUAAAAAAAAACUUAUUUUAAGCCAAAAGUUAAAAGCUGGGGUAGGGGUGCUUUUUUUUUCAAGCUUAUAAGUUGUUUUAAGUUGACCACAUUUUUACCUUUUUGCCCUUAAUAUUUUUAUA
rnacentral:misc_RNA from 1 species